CCAGGUUCCAGGAAAGAGAGGAGGGUCAGCCUGGGAUGGGGCUUCAGAGUCUGGUUGAACUCAGCAGGCUACUGCUGAUUCACCAGCCUCCCUCCUGCAUUCCCUGGUCCCGCCCCGUGGCAUUUCUGGUUUUAGAGCUCAUCGUCAGUAGACCUGCCUGC